ACCACUGUAGCAGCACUACAAUAUAAAUAAAGUUCAUGGCCAUAAUUAAGCACAGAAAACGAGUUGCUAAAUUGAGUGAAUAAUAAUAAUACUUUGCAAUAAUUGGUAGACAGAUUGCAGUUCACUUUGUUGAUGGUCUACUAUUAACUUUGUCUUUGUAGAUUCGGGCAAUGACGAAAAUUACAAGGGAAAGAAGAAUAGCAACGGGCCCGUAGCUGCAAAAAAUUUGAGCAAUGACAUAAAUGAAAAGGGGAAUAAGAAUGAGGAUAGACCCACAGCUGCAAAAAGAAGGAAGGGAACAAAACUCAAUGCCUGUGUU